rnacentral:rRNA from 1 species
GACGAACGCUGACGGCGUGCCUAAUACAUGCAAGUAGAACGCUGAAGCUUGGUGCUUGCACCGAGCGGAUGAGUUGCGAACGGGUGAGUAACGCGUAGGUAACCUGCCUGGUAGCGGGGGAUAACUAUUGGAAACGAUAGCUAAUACCGCAUAACAGUAGAUAUCGCAUGAUAGCUACUUGAAAGGUGCAAAUGCACCACUACCAGAUGGACCUGCGUUGUAUUAGCUAGUUGGUGAGGUAACGGCUCACCAAGGCAACGAUACAUAGCCGACCUGAGAGGGUGAUCGGCCACACUGGGACUGAGACACGGCCCAGACUCCUACGGGAGGCAGCAGUAGGGAAUCUUCGGCAAUGGACGGAAGUCUGACCGAGCAACGCCGCGUGAGUGAAGAAGGUUUUCGGAUCGUAAAGCUCUGUUGUAAGAGAAGAACGAGUGUGAGAGUGGAAAGUUCACACUGUGACGGUAUCUUACCAGAAAGGGACGGCUAACUACGUG